UACGUAGGGUGCAAGCGUUAAUCGGAAUUACUGGGCGUAAAGCGUGCGCAGGCGGCUUUGCAAGACAGAUGUGAAAUCCCCGGGCUUAACCUGAGAACUGCAUUUGUGACUGCAUGGCUGGAGUGCGGCAGAGGGGGAUGGAAUUCCGCGUGUAGCAGUGAAAUGCGUAGAUAUGCGGAGGAACACCGAUGGCGAAGGCAAUCCCCUGGGCCUGCACUGACGCUCAUGCACGAAAGCGUGGGGAGCAAACAGG
rnacentral:rRNA from 1 species